rnacentral:misc_RNA from 1 species
GAUGAAGAACGUAGCGAAAUGCGAUACGUACUGUGAAUUGCAGAAUUCAGUGAAUCAUCGAAUCUUUGAACGCAUAUUGCGCUCUUUGGUAUUCCGAAGAGCAUGCUUGUUUGAGUAUCAGUAAACACCUCAAAGCUUUUGGAUUUUUUAAUCGAAAAGCUUUGGACUUGAGCAAUCCCAACACCAAUCUUUUUGAGAUCGGUGGCGGGUUGCUUGAAAUGCAGGUGCAGCUGGACAUUCUCCUGAGCUAAAAGCAUAUUCAUUUAGUCCCGUCAAACGGAUUAUUACUUUUGCUGCAGCUAACAUAAAGGGAGUUUGACCGUAUUGGCUGACUGAUGCAGGAUUUCACAAGGGUCGGCAACGAUUCUUGUUAAACUCGAUCUCAAAUCAAGUAAGACUACCCGCUGAACUUAAGCAUAUCAAUAAGCGGAGGA